AGAUCCAGGUGCCAGAUGUAAAUUUGGAAGUUGUCAGCAGUAUUUAAUGUGAUGAAAGUAGAUGAAAUCACUAAAGUGUGAUGAGAGGAGAGGGUGAGCAGAGAAAAAGCUGAGGACUGAGUCUGCGUGCCCCAACAUGAGGUCAAGAAGAGGAACAAGCAAAGAAGGCUGGGCAAGGGCAGCCAAUGAAGUAGGAGGGGAAAUCAUAGGUAUGACUGUAGUAUUACUAUCCUUCUUAGAAGCCAAAUAGAGAAAGCAUUUCAAGGAGGAAGAGGUGAGCAGUUGUAUCAGAUGCGGCUGAUGGCUCAAGUAAAAUGAGGAGUGGGCGAUGUACAUUAAGUUAAGAAACCUGAAAAUCCUUGGUGACCUUGAAGAGAGGAGUUUUGAGGAAGUGGUAGAUCUGAAAGCCUGUUUUAAUAGAAAGUGGGAGGAGACAGGAUUGAUCGUAUGUAUGUAUGUAUGUAUGUAUGUAUGUAUGUAAAUGGAAGAGGGAUGCCUGAGUGGCUCAGUGGUUGGGCGCCUGCCUUCGGCUCAGGUCAUGAUCCCAGGAUUCGGGAUUGAGUUCUGCAUUGGGCUCCCUGCUUCUACCUCUGCCUGUGUCUCUGGCUCUCUGUCUCUGUCUGUGUCUCUCAUGAAUAAAUAAAUCUUUAAAAAAAAUACAAAAAUAAAUGUAAACAAAUAAAUAAAUUGAAGCAAAGGGAUGGAGUUGGAAAUGGACCAAUCUUGAUCUGGUCUGAUCCUCCAUAUGAUGGAGGAAAAUGAUUUUCUCUUGUCUUACAUUUAUUCAAUAAAAUAGUUAUUAAGGUACUACUAUGUGAUUUAAUCCGUAGCCCUGCUUCCAAGAGUGAUAUAUUUGUGCUGGGCAGAAAGCCAUGUUGUAACUAACCUCAGGCCACCCGGUGGGAGUGCAGGUAACUAGCGUCUGAAACUUGCUAUCCUCUGACUUCAUGACCCUGUAAGUUCAUUCUGUCCCAAAAUAAGUUGGUCACCAGAGUGCCUUGAGUCUUCAGUAUAGCUACAAAACAUGUGUCAUGUAUAGAUUUAGGUCUGUUGAUAUUUGAUUUGGGUUUAAAGUACUUGUUUAACUUAUCUUUACUUUGCAUAAUGUGAAAUCCAAUACAUAAUGGUUUGUAACAUGUAAAGUUCACAGAACCUUUUGUGAAAAACAAGAUCAAAACAGUAAGCAAAUGAAAGAUGUCUUUUUUUUUUUUUUUUUUUUUUUAAGAUUUUUAUUUAUUUGAGAGAGAGAGCCACGAGAGGGAGAGCAAGCUAGUGAGAGCCAGUGAGCGGGAGUCAGGGGAGAGACAGAGAGACAAGCAGACUCCCCACUGAGCAGAGACCCUGAUGAUGUGAUGAUGUGAUGAUGUGGAGUUUGAUCCCAGGACUCUGGGAUCAUGACCUAAACUCUAGGCAGACAACCAACUGAGCCACCCAGGUGCCCUGAGAUGUCUCCUUGUAACCAGUCUCCCUCAUUUUAAAUUUCCUCAUGAUAUUCAUUUGUAUUAGCUGAAGUGCUAAGUUCUGAGUGUUUAUCUUCUGUAUUCAUGAAUGUGUUCUAUUUCCCAAAUUAUUAAGAGAAAUGAACCCUGAAUAGUUUAAAAUAUUUUACUCAGCAACUUUUAGAAUAAAAUGACUACACCGCUGAGGAUUA
rnacentral:lncRNA from 1 species